CACAACUACUUUAUAUACCUUAUCUGCCUAAGAAGCUGUGCUUGGAUGGUUACCCCAAGAAAAUGCUUCCUUAUAUUAUUGUUGAUAAAUUUAUUAAACUACACAGAUAGAAAUCUUGUUAGUAGCGUUGUCGGGAGUAUUCAGUUUAAAAAUACUUCCGGCUUCGAUACAGAUUUAAAUUAUCAACAAAUUGGUCUUCUUCAAACUUUUUUUAUUACAUCUUAUGUUAUAAGUUCUCCUGUAUUUGGUUAUCUGGGUGAUCGUUAUUGUAGAAAAGCGAUUCUUUUGUUCGGUGUCUUUUGUUGGUCUU